CGCAUCUGUGCAUGCAGCAUAUCAAUAAGCGGAGGAAAAGAAACUAACAAGGAUUCCCUUAGUAACGGCGAGUGAAGCGGGAAGAGCUCAAAUUUGAAAUCUUCAAGGUUUUACCUUGACGAAUUGUAGUUUAAAGAAGUGUUUUCUGUUGAAGUUUUGGUAAAAGUUCUUUGGAAUAGGACAUCAUAGAGGGUGAGAAUCCCGUAUUUGACCAUUAUUUUCAGCUGUGUGAUACACUUUCAAAGAGUCGGAUUGUUUGGGAAUGCAGUCCAAAAUGGGUGGUAAAUUUCAUCUAAAGCUAAAUAUUGGCGAGAGACCGAUAGCGAACAAGUACCGUGAGGGAAAGAUGAAAAGAACUUUGAAAGAGAGGGUUAAACAGUACGUGAAAUUGUCAAAAGGGAAGCGUUUGACACCAGUGUUGUUUUCUCGAAAAUCAAUUAAAAAGAGUUUGAUUUUGUUGUGUAUUGACCUUAACAGCUUGCAUUUCAAUUUUCUUGCUUUUUUUAAUGCACUUUUCGUUUAACAAGUCAACAUCAGUUUCUUUUGUUGUAAAAAGGUCAUUGGAAGGUGGCUUUCUUUUCGGAGAAAGUGUUUAUAGCCUUUGACUCCUGCAAUCGGAGAGACUGAGGUCUGCAGCGUAGAUCCUUCGGGGUUAGAUACAUUUGUGCUAAGUUAUAGCUUUUUAUAGACAACUUGUUGACUAUGAUUAGUCUUGUAGCUUACUCGCUUAUGCUAUUUUACCUACGCUUAGGAUGUUGAUGUGAUACUGCGAGC
rnacentral:rRNA from 1 species